rnacentral:RNase_P_RNA from 1 species
GAAGUAAGCUGGGCAGCCGCCGGUGCAGUGUCGAAAGGCCGCACGGGAGGAAAGUCGGAGCUCCGCAGGGCAGGGUGCCGGAUAACGUCCGGCGGGAGCAAUCCUAGGGAAAGUGCCACAGACAUGUAGACCGCCGAUGGCCGCUACGCGGCACAGGCAAGGGUGCAACGGUGCGGUAAGAGCGCACCAGCGGGUUGGAGACAACCCGGCUAGGUAAACCCCACCCGGAGCAAGACCGGAUAGGAGUGCACAUGCGAUGGCCCGUCGCGCACUCGGGUAGGUCGCUGGAACCGGCUGGCAACAGUCGGUCUAGAUAGAUGGUUGCCGCUCCACAGUGCGAGGCGCUUGCGCCGUUUGCAGCACAGGAGUACAGGACUCCGCUUACAGGCUUGCUUCCCAA